rnacentral:rRNA from 1 species
UACAGAGGGUGCGAGCGUUGUCCGGAAUCACUGGGCGUAAAGGGCGCGUAGGCGGGCGGUCAAGUCGGGGGUGAAAUCUUUCAGCUUAACUGGAAAAGUGCCUCCGAUACUGAUCGCCUCGAGGGAGGUAGGGGCAUGUGGAACUUCCGGUGGAGCGGUGAAAUGCGUAGAUAUCGGAAGGAACGCCGGUGGCGAAGGCGGCUAUCUGGACGACAACUGACGCUGAGGCGCGAAAGCGUGGGGAGCGAACAGG